UGUGAAUAUUUUAUUCUCCGAAUGAAUUACAUAAACAAUGAACUGUAUUACGAUAACGCAUUGUAAACUUGUACAUUGUACUGUGAACAUGUUUGAUUUGAAGCAUAAAAUUGUUCUUUUGACUGGCGGUGCAAAUGGUAUUGGAGCAGCGAUUGUUCAAGCAUUUCUGAGAGAAGGCGUUAAGCAUAUAGCUAUACUUGAUAUCGAUGUAAGUUCGGGAAACUCCUUAGAGAACGAAAUGAACGAAACCUAUGGAGAUGAAAAGGUAAAAUAUUACCAAUGCGAUGUUUCAAAGGAUGAACAACUUCUUGAAACUUUCAAUAUAGUUCACGAUCGCAACAGCUAUAUAGACAUUGUAAUAAAUAAUGCUGGCUUGACUGAUGAGAGCAACACAAGUAAUAUUAGGAGUGAAAUUGAAGUAAAUUAUAUAGCAUUAGUCAACGGGACACUAAAGGCGUUGGAGAUGAUGCGGGUAGACCGAGGUGGGAGAGGGGGCACGGUAAUAAAUAUAUCGUCGAUUGCAUGCCUGUGUCAAUUGGCGCCGGCACUUUUUGUAUACUUGGGGACUAAAAGCGCUGUGCUGCAGUUCAGUAAUUGUAUUGGUAGGGAAGAAUAUUACACUAAGACUGGGGUGAGAGUAAUUACAGUUUGCUUUGGAAACACUGAUACUACUAUCAUGCAGAAAUUGAAAAGUUUUGACGAAGAAAUAAACAAGGAAAUGCAAGAAAUAAUAAAAUUAUAUCCUAUGCAAUCACAAGAAUCAGCAGCGAAAGGUGUAGUGGAUGUGUUAAAAAAUGGCAAAUCUGGCAGCACUUGGCUGGUUGCAAAUGAUAAACCAGCAGUGGAUUACUCAUCACAUGUUACUGAUGCGUACAAAAUUAUGGCAAAACAUUUGAAUGAUUGAUAUUUAUGUUUUAAUUACCAUUGGGUAAUCAGUCAAUGGCGCGGUUAAUAUAACAAUUAUUGAAAAUCCUUAUGCAGAUAGUAUCUUGCAGAACUGAUGGGUUAUUGGGUACGAAGGUUCUGGAGUGGAGGCCACGAACGGGCAAAUGCAGCGUCGGACGUUCACCCACGAGGUGGACAAAUGACCUAAUAAAUAUCGCAGGAGGUCGCUGGAUGCGGGCCGCUUCCAAUAGGUCGAGGUGCAAAUCUUUGCGAGAGUCUCAUGUUCAGCAGUGGACCUCUUGUAGGUGAUGAUGAUAAUAAAGAUAAAAAGACUUCCGUGUAAUAAGAUUUUUUUAAAGAUUCAUAUAAUAUUACUAUAUCACCACUUCGCUUGAGAAAAUGGGGCUUUAUGAAUAAUUACUACAGAUAAAAGAAUUGUGUUACAAAUAACAACAUUGAUAAUAAUGUUUAGUUUGUAUUAUUCAUCGUCAAUAUUGAAUCUAAUUAACAAACAUUCGUCAAAUAUACGAAAAAUAAACAUUGAAAAAAAUAUUGAAAGUUUUCUAUUCACAGUCAUCGAAGCGAGACCAAUAUGGGAUUUGAAGGUGCGCUAAUUUAGCACAAUCGUUGACUACGUCACGUGUUACAUUGAACUACGAAUUCCCAACGAUAAUAUUUAUUUCGAUUGUAUUGGUCGGCAAACAAACAAAUUGUUAACAAUGUUAAAUUAUAAAGAAUUGGAAGCAGACGAUUUGGGACUCCGGAAACUUCAAAUAUUUACCAAACAC
rnacentral:misc_RNA from 1 species